ACUGAAAACAAAACUCCUUGAACAUGGAACAACUUUAACAGUAAAGAAACAAAUAUGACAGCACUUUCUUACAGUUUUAAUGAAAUUUUUCCUUUUAUGUACUUCCAACUCAGCUAUCAAAACUUCUAUUAAGAUACAUGUAUGCUCCAUUUCCUCAAAAUCAGCGACUCUCAGCUUCAAACUAAGCAACUACACGAGUUAGAUUUAUGCACAUUCUGUUGGAAGUAAUAUAUAGAAAUUGCAUCAAAGUGGAUCCUGAAAACACAAAGUGUGCCUGACCACCGGUUUGGUCACCCAACGGCUGAAGGCCAGGAUCUGUUCAAGUGUUCACCCGAUGGUUAUGGCUUCUUUUAAAAAUGGUGGCUUAUGUAGCCAGAUUUGCUUAAAGCAUCUCCACAGCCAGAUGGCUUUUUAUAUUAGACACAACUCAUUAUUGCACAAUAUGCAGUAUUGUAUGCAUUAUGUCUUAUUCUGAACUAUAUGUAUAUCAUCCGGUAUCUAGCUUACUGCACUUUGGCACAUCACACUCAGUCAUAUAAUGCAUUGUAAACCUCUGUAAAGUAUGGAAUGGCAAAUAGAUUCCAAUGAAGUCUUUAAACAUAUAUGAUCACAGCCCACUAUCUAAGCUUCAGCCUCAAGCUUUUAUUACAAGAAACAGGAGCAAAUGACAGGACUCCAACCACGGGAAACGUAAGGCCUGGCAAGCAUUAAAGGCCUUACCACUUUACUACAAAUUGCUCCUGAUAUUUAAGAGGGGCAGGGAAAGAGAGACCUCCUUCUCUUGGCUAAUGAGUGGCUGUCCAGUUCUUAUCAAAGCAGUAAUAUCACACAGCAGGGCAUCCCAGAUUUAUGGCCUUGCACAUCACUUCUGACAGAGACCGUAGCAGGUGGGAAGUGCACUAACUACACAUAUUGAUUUACCAAUAAUUAUAUAGUCCCUGAGUAAAGGCUAAGUCAUCAGUUCAGGGAACUCAUAGUUAUAGAUGUUGGCCAGAUGCAGUGCCUGAAUUAUACAGUGCUUUUAUCUAACACAUAUGAAUCUUUCUUAACCCUUAUGAUCUUUAUGAUGAUACUGUCCAAUUCUUUUUUAUCUGAAAGUGUACCUGCCUUAAGCUUGUUCCUUUAUAAAUUAACUGCCUUUUUCACCAUAAGAACUUUUAUAACAUGCAAUCUAACAUUUACUUAGAUAUAAGCUCAACCAAGAA